rnacentral:RNase_P_RNA from 1 species
GUCAAGACGAUCGCGGCAGCCUUCGGGCUGAUGAGGAAAGUCCGGGCUCCACAGGGCAGUGUGCUGGAUAACGUCCAGCGGGGGUGACCCUAGGGACAGUGCCAUAGAGAUUUAGACCGCCGACUUGUCGGUAAGGGUGGAAAGGUGCGGUAAGAGCGCACCAGCAGUCAGGUGACUGGCUGGCUUUGGUAAACCCCACACGGAGCAAGACCAAAUAGGAAGGAUAUAGUGCGGCCCGCACUUCCUUCGGGUAGCGUCGCUUGAGCCUUGCGGCAACGCAUGUGCCUAGAUAAAUGAUCGUCACCGCCUCGGCGGGACAGAACUCGGCUUAUUGGCUGCU